GAGUACAAGGGAAAUCCACCCCAACUCACUCACAGUCGUCCUGCGUUAAAGCUGCACUCACACUCUCUAGUAGGCUGGUUGAGACUAGAAGCAUUCGUUUAAAUCUGGCCUUGUCCCCUGGCAACAAAAACCCUGCAUGGUUCUGAAAAGAGGACAUGAGCCUGGGAAACCCUUUUAGGAAAACAGACCGGAGCUCAAAGCACAGCGGGAACGGAAUGUCCAAAAGGGAAGAAUGAUACCCCGGCCAUAACCGGAUGCAACGUGCUGCUCCUGCAUUGUUGCAAAGGAGCUUCCAGUCUAGUUCCGAACCGUGCCUUCCAGUAUUUAGCCAGUGAUGCGCUGCAUGUUGAGCACGCCACAAGCAGCCCUGACCCAUUGACUCCACUAGACCGCUGAAGGUGUGGUAUCUGGCUCCAAGAUGUUAGCAACAGAUCCUUUAAGUCCAAUAAGUUGUGACAAGGGGCUUCCAUUGAUCGAAUUGUCCAGGACAUCCCAAAGAUGCUCGACUGGAUUGAGAUCUGGGGAAUUUGGAGGCCAACUCAACACCUCAAACUCCUCAAACCAUUCCUGAGAUAUUUUUUACUUUGUGGGAAGGCAGACUAUCAUGCUGAAAGCUGUCCAUGACCGUUUCCAUGACAGUUUAAAGAGUAGUACAUGUUAGUACAUGUCAAAGUAGCAUCCACGUAGAUGGCAGGACCCAAGGUUUCCCAGCAGAACAUUGGCCAAAGCAUCACGCCGCCUCCGUCAGCUUACCUUCUUCCCAUAGUGCAUCCUGGUGCCAGGUGUUCCCCAGGUGAGAACAUUGUUCAUCAUCCAAAUCUGAAUCAGGUGUUCACAGUCGACUCUGCUGCGCCUCCCGUCGAAGAAACCACAAGCCAAGAAACCUACGGAACACAAGGAAUCGAUAUAAAGUUUUUCAAGGACGUACGAUGGCAGAAGUCAAAUCUACAAAUGGAUUCUGUAUUUCUAGUUCUGUUGGCUAUGACAAUGCACUUUUUUUUUCUUUUUUCUUUUUUUUACAGUUGACCUUAAAUGUUACAUUACACAGUGUCCCUGGUUUCUACCUUUCCUCUGUGUCCAAGAACUGACAGUUCUCGAACACUCCUGUUCUUUUGUUUGGUUAAUAAGGCACUGUUAAAACUCUACCAGGGUUAGAGCUGCCAUGCUGGAGCCCACAAAUGAAUCACAGAAAAGCACUAAAUCAAAGAUUGCAACACAGAAAGAGACACAAAAUACUGAAGACAUGCCAAAGACUUUGAGAGUCUAUAGUGCAUGUAUGUAGCUAGGUAAAUGAAAGCAUGACACGAACUUUGAAUGGUAAAAACCAAACACGCCAUUCAAACAAAUAUCCAGUUGGCACCAGCAACACAGACUAUCAAAGGCAUGAUAGAGGCAUGAUCGAGGAAAUGCAGGCGUGUAUGUCUGUCUGUGUGUGUGUGUGUGUGUGUGUGUGUGUGUGUGUGUGUGUGUGUGUGUGUGUGUGUGUGUGUGUAACCUUGAUUUGCUUUCCCUCUUGCUCAAUUAUUUGUUUACUGAUCAUGCUUCAAGGUUUGAAUUGGUUUAACACCCACUAGCUUGUUUCGUCAAUGUUUUGCAUUUCUCUUGAUGGCAGUGGCUAAUAUUCAACCUUGAAAAAGACACGGUAACCUGCAAAGUCAGCGCUUUAUUCAUGUAACAAGUUCCUCCAAAAG